CCUACGGGGGGCAGCAGUGAGGAAUAUUGGUCAAUGGACGAGAGUCUGAACCAGCCAAGUAGCGUGAAGGAUGACUGCCCUAUGGGUUGUAAACUUCUUUUAUAUGGGAAUAAAAUGUUCCACGUGUGGGAUUUUGUAUGUACCAUAUGAAUAGGGAUCGGCUAACUCCGUGCCAGCAGCCGCGGUAAUACGGAGGAUCCGAGCGUUAUCCGGAUUUAUUGGGUUUAAAGGGAGCGUAGGUGGAUUGUUAAGUCAGUUGUGAAAGUUUGCGGCUCAACCGUAAAAUUGCAGUUGAAACUGGCAGUCUUGAGUACAGUAGAGGUGGGCGGAAUUCGUGGUGUAGCGGUGAAAUGCUUAGAUAUCACGAAGAACUCCGAUUGCGAAGGCAGUUCACUGGACUGCAACUGACACUGAGGCUCGAAAGUGUGGGUAUCAAACAGGAUUAGAUACCCGAGUAGUC
rnacentral:rRNA from 1 species